UGCAUAUCAAUAAGCGGAGGAAAAGAAACCAACAGGGAUUGCCUCAGUAACGGCGAGUGAAGCGGCAAAAGCUCAAAUUUGAAAUCCCCCCGGGGAGUUGUAAUUUGAAGAUUGCGUCUUGGAGGCGACCGUGUCUAUGUUCCUUGGAACAGGACGUCACAGAGGGUGAGAAUCCCGUGCGGCACGGCCCCCGGCUCCUUAUAAGGCGCUCUCGACGAGUCGAGUUGUUUGGGAAUGCAGCUCAAAGUGGGUGGUAAAUUCCAUCUAAAGCUAAAUACAGGCGAGAGACCGAUAGCGAACAAGUACAGUGAUGGAAAGAUGAAAAGCACUUUGAAAAGAGAGUGAAACAGCACGUGAAAUUGUUGAAAGGGAAGGGCAUGCCGUCAGAUUGUCAGUGUGGGUAAGAAGCGGGGUACAAAGACUGUGGAACGUGGCCCUCGGGUGUUAUAGCCGCAGUUCAUGCCCCGUCUCUUUCCGAGGCCUGCUUUGA
rnacentral:rRNA from 1 species